rnacentral:rRNA from 1 species
GAUGAACGCUAGCGGGAGGCUUAACACAUGCAAGUCGAGGGGCAGCAUAAGGUAGCAAUACUUUGAUGGCGACCGGCGCACGGGUGAGUAACGCGUAUGUAACCUGUCCUCAACAGGAGGAUAACCCGGAGAAAUUCGGACUAAUACUGCAUAAAAUUAUAAAUAGGCAUCUAUUAAUAAUUAAAGCUACGGCGGUUAGGGAGGGGCAUGCGUAACAUUAGCUGGUUGGUAGGGUAACGGCCUACCAAGGCAAUGAUGUUUAGGGGACCUGAGAGGGUGACCCCCCACACUGGUACUGAGACACGGACCAGACUCCUACGGGAGGCAGCAGUGAGGAAUAUUGGUCAAUGGGCGGCAGCCUGAACCAGCCAUCCCGCGUGAAGGAAGAAUGCGCUAUGCGUUGUAAACUUCUUUUUCAGGGGGUAUAAAAUUCUAGUUAUGUAUACAGGACUGAAGGUACCCUGAGAAUAAGCAUCGGCUAACUCCGUGCCAGCAGCCGCGGUAAUAC